GGGCCCGUAGCUCAGCCUGGAUAGAGCAGCGGCCUCCUAAGCCGUUGGUCGUGGGUUCGAAUCCCACCGGGCCCGCCA
rnacentral:tRNA from 1 species